GGGUCCUACGGGAGGCAGCAGUGGGGAAUAUUGCACAAUGGGGGGAACCCUGAUGCAGCAAUGCCGCGUGGGUGAAGAAGCACUCCGGUGCGUAAAGCCCUGUCAGCAGGGAAGAAAAUGACAGUACCUGGACAAGAAGCCCCGGCUAACUACGUGCCAGCAGCCGCGGUAAUACGUAGGGGGCAAGCGUUAUCCGGAUUUACUGGGUGUAAAGGGAGCGUAGACGGCAUGGCAAGUCUGGAGUGAAAGCCCGGGGCCCAACCCCGGGACUGCUCUGGAAACUGCCAUGCUAGAGUGCUGGAGAG
rnacentral:rRNA from 1 species